CCUACGGGAGGCAGCAGUGGGGAAUAUUGGGCAAUGGAGGAAACUCUGACCCAGCGACGCCGCGUGCGGGAUGAAGGCCUUCGGGCUGUAAACCGCUUUCAGCAGGGAAGAAGCGAAAGUGACGGUACCUGCAGAAGAAGCACCGGCUAACUAUGUGCCAGCAGCCGCGGUAAUACAUAGGGUGCAAGCGUUGUCCGGAAUUAUUGGGCGUAAAGAGCUCGUAGGUGGUUCGUCACGUCGGAUGUGAAAAUCUGGGGCUUAACCCCAGACCUGCAUUCGAUACGGGCGAGCUUGAGUAUGGUAGGGGAGUCUGGAAUUCCUGGUGUAGCGGUGGAAUGCGCAGAUAUCAGGAGGAACACCAAUGGCGAAGGCAGGACUCUGGGCCAUUACUGACACUGAGGAGCGAAAGCGUGGGGAGCGAACAGGAUUAGAUACCCUGGUAGUCCACGACCGUAACGGUACGGCGACUAGUUGUGGGUACCGUUCCGUACGGUCGUCUGCGACGCGAGCUACGACAUAAGUCGCCCGCCGUCGGGAGGUACGAGCGCGAGUAAGUUAAACGUUAAAGUUAAGUUAGUAGUUACGUUGUGAGNGCGACGACGACGACGAGGAGGAGG
rnacentral:rRNA from 1 species